AUUCGUUAGGAAAAUAACUACUUUUCGCAACUACUUGGCGAAAAGUACUUCUAUGUAAUAUUUGCAUCUCAAUAGUUUACUUUUCGCGGUUGUUGCAGAAAACGUUGUAUGCAACACGUUGCGAAAAGUGUGUUUUCGUCACACGAUGUGGUUAUCAAACUCGCUUCUCUCGUUUGAUAACAUCACGUUACAUCUAGUUACGAAAACAAAAACUUUUCGCAACUUGUUGCAUAAAUAACUAAUAC